GAUGAACGCUGGCGGCGUGCCUAAUACAUGCAAGUCGAGCGAACAGAUGAGAAGCUUGCUUCUCUGAUGUUAGCGGCGGACGGGUGAGUAACACGUGGGUAACCUACCUAUAAGACUGGGAUAACUCCGGGAAACCGGGGCUAAUACCGGAUAAUAUUUUGAACCGCAUGGUUCAAUAGUGAAAGACGGUUUCGGCUGUCACUUCUAGAUGGACCCGCGCCGUAUUAGCUAGUUGGUAAGGUAACGGCUUACCAAGGCGACGAUACGUAGCCGACCGGAGAGGGUAGUCGGCCACACUGGAACUGAGACACGGUCCAGACUCCUACGGGAGGCAGCAGUAGGGAAUCUUCCGCAAUGGGCGAAAGCCUGACGGAGCAACGCCGCGUGAGUGAUGAAGGUCUUCGGAUCGUAAAACUCUUUUGUUAGGGAAGAACAAAUUUGUUAGUAACUGAACAAGUCUUGACGGUACCUAACCAGAAAGCCACGGCUAACUACGUGCCAGCCGCCGCCGUAA
rnacentral:rRNA from 1 species